UUUUUUUUUUUUUUUUUGUGAGAAGAAGCUCAAACCAAAUAUUCGACACGUCCAAAUGGAUUAAUUCUAAAUCGAACCUAAAAAUCUGAUCCAAUCUAAGCUUAUUUGGAUUGUAGUAAUUUCUUCAAUUUAAAAAUCAAAAAUCAAGACAACAAUUUUAAUAUUUAACUCGAAUUGCCCAAACACUCACCCCUAGUGCAGGGUGGAGAGAGAGUAGAGACGAGAAAGAAUAAUACUACAUUAGAAAUGAAUGACGAAACAAAAGUGAUCAAUUUUAAAGCUUAGUGAUUUACAUUGUCGAAGUGCAAUUAUAACCAUCUUGCCUAUUAUUCUUAAGAGUACAUCAAUGUAUGAGCUAUAAACAAGAAUUGCAUUAAUCAAAUAGAGAAAAAAAAACUACUAACAAGAGAAAGAUUAACACACAACCAAUAGAACUCUACAAAAGAUUAACAAUCACAGCCAGAUGUCUCAUCUGAUUUUAACAUGUUGCAUAGUAGACCAUUCUCUGUUUCGGUUGCUUCCUCAUAUUUUAGCAAGAUACCCCCCCCCCCACCCCAAACCAAACCCAAAGACAGUAAAAUGCAGGAUUUAGGCGGUAAUACACGAAUUCCAGCAAAGGAAGCAACGAAUAAGAAACUAAUACACAUCUCGAGAAACUGUUUUGUUUGCAUCAUGUUUAUCAAAUCAAAACAUACCCCCCUCCUUGGCCAGGGGGGAAUAAACAAAGCUGGUGAAUUUCACCCAUCUAACUAGAAAGUAAACUUUAUUAUGAGUCACGGAAAUAUUAAUGCAUCAUCAUACAUGCACUUACAGGCAUGACAUAUGUGCCCCUCUUCAAGAAGGUCAUACCUUUCUAUAUUUCAAAUACAUGCUUGUUUCCCAGAUGUAGGAACAUUCUAUACUGUGCUUAAAUGCGUGACCUUGAAGCUGAAGAUGUAGAAGCAGGUGCACUCUGCAGCACAAGAAAUGAUACCAAUAAGUAAUGAUUUUAACAUAUGUACAAAACAUAAAAGCAAGCAAUCCGAGUUAAAAUGCACACAAUUGCCAGCUGUCAGUGGCAACUUUUUCUUCCAGGUUGACCACAUAUCGAUGAGGUUGAGCAAUAGUGGCAGUGCAACAGCUAACAUUACCUCUCAUCCUCUUCUUACUUCAUCCUCCUCCAAAGAACAUUACUAACACCCUUUAUUUUCUUUGAUUUGGCAACAAUGGGAGCUCAGACUGAUGAUUAUUUUUAUCAGACACUUACGAUAAUCUGAUUACCAAAGUCAUCAAUAAUUGGAAUUCAACUGUAUAUGCAUA
rnacentral:lncRNA from 1 species